UUCGCCACAUUCUCCUAUUUGCAGGUCUGUGGUAUUUGUGAGAGGUUUGUAAAUGAGCUGUUGGAGACUCAUUUCCAGCAGCGCAGGACGGCAGCAGCGCAGGAUGGGCAGCAGCGCGGGCAUUCGGAUGAGGCGGCAGCAGCGCAGGAUGGGCAGCAGCGCAGGAUGGGCAGCAGUGCGGGCACUCGGAUGAGGCGGCGGCAGCGCAGGAUGGGCAGCAGCGCGGGCACUCAGAUGAGGCGGCAGCAGCCGCGGUGGUGCUGGCGCUCACCAGCUGCCCACACCUUCUGCCCCAGGAGAGCGACCCUGCCCUGGCUCGCUGGAGGUUUUCCUGCUGCUGCGCGCGCUGCUCUGCUCCCUCCGGAGAGAUGACGCUUUUCUGGUGGUGAGCUCCCGACACCACCGUUCCCUGGCUUCGGGACCCUGGUUUGCAUUUGUCUUGCUGGUGCCUUGUCCUCCUGUCCACCAAACACCUGCUUUCCCGGGGACCGGGCUGUUUCUCUCCAGACAGCGAAGGGAUGCUCGCACUCACCCUGCCGGCUCACCCUGCGCUCUCCAUCCCACAGGAUCUCUGCCCAAAGAGAUGGGAUCAAUGCCGCUGUGUGCCGCCCACCCCAGCCCUCUCUUCUGACACCUCCAGCCACACCUGACAAGUUAAUCAGGAUUAGGCCUUUCUCCUCCUUGAAAAGGCUCAUCAAGAGACAAUGAGACUUCUAAUUGAGAUAUGUUAGUGAUUUGAGAGGUGCAAUGUUUCCUCUUACAUCUACAAAAUAGCAUCUGGAAUGCUUCUAGCUGAAAGAUGGCAGAGCACUGAUCUUCAGAAACCCCGUGAUCUGUUUGUCUUGAUAAUCCUGAUCAAGUACUAACUCGAGUAACAUUUUUUGUGCUUUCUGCCAUCCCUUUUUAUCCUCUUGCACCCUUUACAAUUUGCCUCCAUCCAUUAUGUUCCACUCCCAGAAAGGCUGUUCAAAGAGCAGAUUAAACCUUUACACAGGUGACUGUGAA